UGUUGCUUCGGCAGCACGUAUACUAAAACUGGAACGAGACAGAGAUUAGCACGGCUCCUGUGCAAGGAUGACACGCAUGUUCGUGAAGUGUCCCAUAUUUUA